rnacentral:rRNA from 1 species
GAUGAACGCUGGCGGCGUGCCUAAUACAUGCAAGUCGAGCGAACGGACGAGAAGCUUGCUUUUCUGAUGUUAGCGGCGGACGGGUGAGUAACACGUGGAUAACCUACCUAUAAGACUGGGAUAACUUCGGGAAACCGGAGCUAAUACCGGAUAAUAUUUUGAACCGCAUGGUUCAAAAGUGAAAGACGGUCUUGCUGUCACUUAUAGAUGGAUCCGCGCUGCAUUAGCUAGUUGGUAAGGUAACGGCUUACCACGGCAACGAUGCAUAGCCGACCUGUGAGGGUGAUCGGCCACACUGGAACUGAGACGCGGUCCAGACGCCUACGAGAGGCAGCAGUAGGGGAUCGUCCGCAAUGGGCGAGAGCCUGACGGAGCAACGCCGCGUGAGUGAUGAAGGUCUUCGGAUCGUAAAACUCUGUUAUUGGGGAAGAACAUAUGUGUAAGUAACUGUGCACAUCUUGACGGUACCUAAUCAGAAAGCCACGGCUAACUACGUG